rnacentral:rRNA from 1 species
GAUGAACCCUAGCGGCAGGCCUAAUACAUGCAAGUCGAACGGGCGGUAGCAAUACCGUCAGUGGCGCACGGGUGCGUAACGCGUAGGCAAUCUGCCUAUCUCUGGGGGAUAGCCCGCCGAAAGGUGGAUUAAUACCGCAUAACAUUGCAGGGUGGCAUCACCUCACAGUUAAAGAAUUUCGGAGAUAGAUGAGCCUGCGUGCCAUUAGCUAGUUGGUGCGGUAACGGCGCACCAAGGCGACGAUGGCUAGGGGAGCUGAGAGGCCGAUCCCCCACACUGGCACUGAGAUACGGGCCAGACUCCUACGGGAGGCAGCAGUAGGGAAUAUUGGGCAAUGGGCGCGAGCCUGACCCAGCCAUGCCGCGUGACGGAUGAAGGCCUUCUGGGUUGUAAACGUCUUUUGCCCGGGAAGAAAAAACUCUUGCGAGAGGAAUCGACGGUACCGGGUGAAUAAGCACCGGUUAACUCCGUGCCAGCAGCCGCCGUAAUAC